CUUAUCUGGUAAAGCGAAUGAUUAGAGGCCUUAGGGCCGAAACGACCUUAACCUAUUCUCAAACUUUAAAUGGGUAAGAACCUUGCCUUUCUUGAUAUGAAGGUAUAGGUUGUGAUAUAUUGUGCCCAGUGGGCCACUUUUGGUAAGCAGAACUGGCGCUGUGGGAUGAACCAAACGUAAUGUUACGGCGCCUAAAUUAACAACUCAUACUGAUACCAUGAAAGGCGUUGCUUGCUUAAAACAGCAGGACGGUGGACAUGGAAGUCGUAAUCCGCUAAGGAGUGUGUAACAACUCACCUGCCGAAGCAACUAGCCCUUAAAAUGGAUGGCGCUCAAGUUGUAUGCCUAUACAUUACUGCUAAAGCAAAUGAUUUA
rnacentral:rRNA from 1 species